CCUCUGGUGGUUCAGUGGCAGAAUUCUUGCCUUCUAUGCAGAAGACCCAGGUUUGAAUCCUGGCCAGUGCA
rnacentral:tRNA from 1 species